AGGGACCCAAAAAUUAAUAUUUAACUGAGAAAUAAAAGAAAAAAAUGGAAAAACAUGAGGGGCCCUGAAAACAAAACUGAUCAGUAGGUGAGCUUACAAAAUGUGAUGAGUAUUUGCUGGAGUUUGUAUGCUAAUAAAACACCUCUUUAUCCAGAUGUCAACACAGCUUUCCAGGAGACAGUUAACAGCUUUGAUUUGAGAAAACAUUUGAUUUUACUUCAAAUAAAAAACAAUGACAGCAGCCAGGAUAUGAAACAUAUAUAAAGUUUAUGUUCGGCGAACAACAAGCUUGAUGUAUAUGAAAGAAAGGAAAAAAGAAAGAUUUUCACAUGCCUUGCUUUGCUUUCUUUUAUGUGCAAUGAAAGACUAGAAAUUAAGGUGUCAUUAGAGGGAUAAAUACAGAAGAAAAUAAAAUUUAAAGUGUUAAAAAUAAAAGAGAUGAAACAAGCUGGUUCUAGAGCAGAGAAUUUUCAUUUACUUUUUGCAGAUGGGACUUGAAAUGUUGAAGAAAGGUCGAAUUUUGUUCUUUGUUCCCUGGCAGCAUUUAGAAAAGUUGCUUAAGCCACUCAUGCAAGAAAUAAGGUAUGUGGGUCGGUGUUAAAAACAGCUGGAACACUUGAACCACAUGGACUGUCUGCAUCUACAACAGCUGAAAAAGUUAAAGGCAAAUUAACUCAUACAUUGCAGUGAAGAUUUGAGAUUUUAUUAAUUGGAUUGGUGGUUGUCAUAUAUUAAUGUGUUUUUUAUUUAUCGUUUGUGAAAUUUAAAAAUUUUCGUAUAAAAAUGACUGUUUAAUUAUAACUAGGAACAAUUGUUCCUGUAGUAAGUUUGAUUUUCAAUCAAAUUUCGCAUCCAAUCAGGAUGUUCUAUACCAAAUAUGGGGCCUGGAAAAUAAUUGCCAAACUCUCACCCCUUUUUAAAGGGUCCCCUAAAUCUCUAUCUUAUUUGGGUGCUUUAAUCAUCACUUUUUAGUAGUCAUUUUUAUGCUUAUUUGUGGCUUAAUUGCCUGCUUAGUUAAUCAAAUCAUAAUCCAAUCAUUAAUGUAAUUCCAUGACCAAUAUUAUAGUUUGACUGUCUAGCUUUCUUUGCUUCUUAAUAUUCGGUGUUUCAUCAACCCUAAAAAAUAAAAUAAAAUUCUUUUGAUCAUCUAAAUUUCCAAUAUUCCAAUACAAACAAAUUUGCAAGCCUGAAAAUUUGACACUCCAUCCCGGGGAAUCAAAGCAGUUAACAAAAAUCACCAAAAUCAAGAUAUGAUUAUAAAAAAUUAGAACAAAAAAAGAUUGUUUAGAUAAUCAUUCUGAUCUAUGAUCAUCACUCAAUGAAAAGAAAUUCUGGGGUUUUUGAUCCAUAUCCAGACAUGCUAAAAAUGGC
rnacentral:lncRNA from 1 species